GAUGAAGAACGUAGCGAAAUGCGAUAAGUAGUGUGAAUUGCAGACUUUAGUGAAUCAUCGAAUCUUUGAACGCACAUUGCGCCCCUUGGUAUUCCAUUGGGCAUGCCUGUUCGAGCGUCAUUUACACCCUCAAGCUCACGCUUGGUGUUGGGCGUCUGUCCGCGCUUUCGAGCGUGGACUCGCCCCAAAUCCAUUGGCAGCGGCUUCGCCGGCUUCUCGCGCAGCACUUUGCGUUCAAGAAGGUCUUCGGCUGGCUCGCGUCCAUCAAGUCACCCCUCAUUUUGACCUCGAAUCAGGUAGGGAUACCCGCUGAACUUAAGCAUAUCAAUAAGCGGAGGA
rnacentral:misc_RNA from 1 species